rnacentral:rRNA from 1 species
UGUAAGCGUAUACCAAAGUUGUUGCAGUUAAAACGCUCGUAGUCGGAAUUUGGCAGUUCCGGAUGUGUGCACGUCGUGUGCGCACUUCGCGGGGAUUGCUUUUGUGGUCUUGCGUAGGAUGAGGCACUUUUAUUAGUGAACGUCCUCACGCAACCACUUUUUACUGUGAGAAAAUCAGAGUGCUCAAAGCAGGCAUUUGCCGUGAAUGUAUUAGCAUGGAAUAAUAGAAUAGGACUUGGUUCUAUUUUGUUGGUUUGUUGGGACUGAGUAAUGAUUAAGAGGGACAGUUGGGGGCAUUUGUAUUUCGGUGCUAGAGGUGAAAUUCUUAGAUUACCGAAAGACAAACUGCUGCGAAAGCGUCUGCCAAGGAUGUUUUCAUUGA